GAUUCAAGACACCCUGUGCCAGAUGCAGCAAAGCAGCCCUGAAACAUAACCGAGCUUCCACCAUGUUUUACAAUAAGAAAAACACCAGUGGCACCGAUACCUUAUCAACGCAGCACCUCGAGAUGGACAAUGGCGAUAUUCGGGCAGUAACCAGAACCUUCAGAUGCGGUGAUGCUAGGACAGAUAUGCAGCAAUAAAUGUAAUGACCAAGAAAUACAAAAACAGGUGUCCUGCACUCACCGCUUCAAUUCUGAUUAUUCGGCUCCCAUUUCUGGCUGCUCCUCCGGAACCGGGGCUGGCGGACGCGUGGGGCGCUCAGAUCUGAUGUGUGUAAAGUAUAGAAAUGGACAAAGGAAAUGAAGAACAGAUUCACCGCUGCUCUCCAAGGUCCCGGGACGGCUCUGUUUCACAGCAAUUACCUAUGGAUCUGAUGUGUGUUGUCAAAAAGCUCCAGUUUUGUCUCAUCUGUCCAAAGGACAUUUUACUGGAAGUCUUGUGGCUUUGAGCUGAAACACAAAGUCUGCCCUUCAAACCUGAGAGACCUGACGAAUUUUGGACCAAAAUACCUGUAGACAAGUGCAGAAGUCUCACUGAGAAUUACAGAAAUCUCUGGAUUGCAGUGCCUGCCUCAAAAGGUUGCUCAACCAAAUAUUUUCUUCAGGAUAUCAUUGUUUUUGUCUACGCUAGUUUUCAAAAUGAACCAAAAUUCACAAGCAA